rnacentral:rRNA from 1 species
AUGACUGCUGAAUGGAGCGUUGAAAACACUCAGAUUGUCUGCGAGUUGUUCGCUGAGCAAGUGAACACUAGAAAUAGGCCAGGCAAUUAUUUGACGCCAAAUGCAUUUGAUGAGGUGACAAGACAAUUUAAGAUGAGAACCGAGCUUGACUACACACAUACGCAAUUGAAAAACAAAUGGGACAAGCUUAAAGGUGAUUUCACCUUGUUCAAGAAACUAAAGUUUCAGGAGACUUGA